GUGAAGCUCCACAACGUAUGAGCUGUGGUGGAAACGAGAGAAGAGACACUUCAGAAAUUUAACUCUGAGGGAUGCUGAACAAUCACUGUAAGAUGAGGUUAUUCUCCUCCUUGCAGCAUCCAUCUCCGUUAGCAUCACAGAGGAGAACCUCAUUCCUAGGCUGGUUUAGCCCUACCACCCUAGAUUUCUUUGUUUUAUCAGGAUAAAAAAUAAAAGUUCACAAGUUUUGCUUUUUCAGCUAUUUACAGCUUCUUGCACUGGAAGGGUUGCCUUUGUGGGAAUGAGAGGAUGUAGAAAAGAAGGCAAAAACCUGCAGCAGAGUUAUUUUGAAGAGUGAUUUAUGAGAGGAUUUGGAUGGUAUUGGAAUCACCUGAAAGUUCAGCCAUGGACUUAUUAACCUUUCUUGAGGAAGCAGUGCAAGCAAACACAAAGGAGAAGAAGCCACCUCUUUAGGGAUGAGGAAGAACACUGGUAGAUGUUUGUCCUGGAGACAGAAGCUGAAGCUAAAUACCAGUGCAUUGAAACAGGACAGCCUGCCACCCUUUAAAGUCACCUGUGUUCUGUUCGUGGGUAGAAUGCACAUCUGCUUUGCAGGAUUUACUCCUUGUUUAUUAACGUGAGCAUCGUGAGACCUAAGAGAGGUGCAACCCAAAAAGUUGAUGUCUUAAGGAGAAUUAAUGUGCUUGUAAGACUUCAGAAAGCAGAAACUGUCAAAUUUGGCUACAG
ensembl:lncRNA